AGGUUAAAAAGCUCGUAGUUGAACCUUGGGCCUAGCCGGCCGGUCCGCCUCACCGCGUGCACUGGCUCGGCUGGGUCUUUCCUUCUGGAGAACCGCGUGCCCUUCACUGGGUGUCGUGGGGAACCAGGACUUUUACUCUGAAUAAAUUAGAUCGCUUAAAGAAGGCUCUUGCUUGAAUACAUAGCAUGGAAUAAUAGAAUAGGACGUGUGGUUCUAUUUUGUUGGUUUCUAGGACCGCCGUAAUGAUUAAUAGGGACAGUCGGGGGCAUCAGUAUUCAAUUGUCAGAGGUGAAAUUCUUGGAUUUAUUGAAGACUAACUACUGCGAAAGCAUUUGCCAAGGAUGUUUUCAUUAAUCAGGAACGAAAGUUAGGGGAUCGAAGACGAUCAGAUACCGUCGUAGUCUUAACCAUAAACUAUGCCGAUUAGGGAUCGGACGGUGUUAUUUUUUGACCCGUUCGGCACCUUACGAUAAAUCAAAAUGUUUGGGCUCCUGGGGGAGUAUGGUCGCAAGGCUGAAACUUA
rnacentral:rRNA from 1 species